UGUUUCAGGUCAUCCAUUACAAGGAAACAACCAAUAAUCACGAGGUCAAGCAAAUUAAUUGGGAGAUGACUCCUGCAGGAAAGUGUUCAUGAGUAUGACACCUUGAGGGCUAGCCAAAUGACGCACACCCAGGGUCUACGAAAUUCCAGUGAGCACCACAUGAGAGAGAUCCAGAUGCCAGCCAGAAGACCCAAGUCUAGCCCAAUGCAUCAGUUCCAGUCUGUCUGUGGAUAUCGAGUUCUGUCCUUACCAAGAGGCGGGGUUUGGGGUAGAGAAUUCAUGGCUGUACAUAUGGAUGAUCACAUGAGUCUAGCCAAAAGUUUGGGGAAAGUUAAGGAGAAUGAGAGUUAUAAUGUGGACAUUUCCUUUUCCUUCCUUUCCACAAAUUUAAUGGACAUUCAGAAGCAAUACAAGAGACUUUUUUUGUGUAUUUCUUUGGGACUAUUUUUAUUUUGGCCUAAAUGCUGUCAUGCCCCUCCCACUUGCUUUUAUGGACUGUCACACCCCUUCCCCCUUUUGCAUUCCAUGGACAAUUGCUAUGCAGCUGUGAUUAUGUGUUUAUUGUUUUCUAUUUUUGCAUGUUUAGUGUGGUGGUGAGGGAAGGUGGCCCGGGUGAAGGUUCGGGGGCAUGUUGGCCAUAUAUGUCACAAUGCAGAAAAAGUCAGUCACCUUCGUCAUCUUUGUGUCUGAAAGAGGGGAUUGUAGUAAUAUGACUGAACAUAAGUGACUCCAUCUUGUGCGGGCAUAUUUGUCAUGAACAGAUGGUACAUUAAACCUGAUGUCAGCAAUGCAGCCAUGUUUAAGUGGUUAAAGUAUUCAAUGUACCCUUUACUAACCACUCCCCCUCCCAUAUUUUGAUCUAUUUUGAUUGGUUGUGUUGAAACAUAUAUCUUCUGUAUGCCCGCCCAUUAAAGUAGGCAUUUUCUUUGAA